rnacentral:rRNA from 1 species
AGCGAACGCUGGCGGCAGGCUUAACACAUGCAAGUCGAACGGUCCUUCGGGAUAGUGGCGGACGGGUGAGUAACACGUGGGAACGUACCCUUAGGUUCGGAACAACACAGGGAAACUUGUGCUAAUACCGGAUAAGCCCUUCGGGGGAAAGAUUUAUCGCCUUUGGAGUGGCCCGCGUCUGAUUAGCUUGUUGGUGAGGUAAUGGCUCACCAAGGCUACGAUCAGUAGCUGGUCUGAGAGGAUGGCCAGCCACGCUGGGACUGAGACACGGCCCAGACUCCUACGGGAGGCAGCAGUGGGGAAUCUUGCGCAAUGGGCGAAAGCCUGACGCAGCCAUGCCGCGUGGAUGAUGAAGGUCUUAGGAUUGUAAAAUCCUUUCACCGGGGACGAUAAUGACGGUACCCGGAGAAGAAGCCCCGGCUAACUUCGUGCCAGCCGCCGCAGUAA